rnacentral:rRNA from 1 species
GACGGAGGAUGCAAGUGUUAUCCGGAAUCACUGGGCGUAAAGCGUCUGUAGGUGGUUCGAAAAGUCCACUGUUAAAAAUUGAGGCUUAACUUCAAAGAUGCCGUGGAAACUUUCAAACUAGAGUAUGGUAGGGGUAGAGGGAAUUUCCGAGUGGAGCGGUGGAAAUGCGUAGAUAUUGGAAAGACCACCGAUGGCGAAGGCACUCUAUUGGGCCAUUACUGACACUGAGAGACGAAAGCUAGGGGAGCAAAUGGG